CGAGUUCGCAACUGACGCUCAUGCACGAAAGCGUGGGGAUCAAACAGGAUUAGAUACCCUGGUAGUCCACGCCGUAAACGAUGAUCACUCGUUGCCGGGGGGCGACCUUCGGUGGCCAAGCGAAAGCGAUAAGUGAUCCACCUGGGGAGUACGAUCGCAAGGUUGAAACUCAAAGGAAUUGACGGGGGCCCGCACAAGCGGAGGAGCAUGUGGUUUAAUUCGAUGAUACGCGAGGAACCUUACCCGGGCUUGAACGUAAGACCGAGACACAGGAGACUGUGUCGCCUUCGGGGGUUUUGCGAGGUGCUGCAUGGUUGUCGUCAGCUCGUGCCGUGAGGUGUUAGGUUAAGUCCUGCAACGAGCGCAACCCUUACCUUCAGUUGCCAGCACGUAAUGGUGGGGACUCUGGAGGAACUGCCUACGCAAGUAGAGAGGAAGGUGGGGAUGACGUCAAAUCAGCACGGCCCUUAUGUCCGGGGCUACACACGUGCUACAAUGGCGCACACAGAGGGCAGCGACCCUGCGAGGGGGAGCCAAUCCAUUAAAGUGCGUCUCAGUUCGGAUCGGAGUCUGGAACCCGACUCCGUGAAGUUGGAUUCGC
rnacentral:rRNA from 1 species